rnacentral:rRNA from 1 species
UACGAAGGUCCCAAGCGUUAUCCGGAUUUAUUGGGUUUAAAGGGUGCGCAGGCGGAUAUGUAAGUCAGUGGUGAAAUCUCCGGGCUUAACCCGGAAACUGCCGUUGAUACUAUAUAUCUUGAAUGCUGUGGAGGUAAGCAGAAUAUGUCAUGUAGCGGUGAAAUGCUUAGAGAUGACAUAGAAUACCUAUUGCGAAGGCAGCUUACUACGCAGAUAUUGACGCUCAUGCACGAAAGCGUGGGGAUCAAACAGG